GCAACCUGCGCUUCUCGGCCGGCAACCGCUCCGUCUUCCUCUCCAUGCUGGGCAAUUCCUGGUUCUGGUUCUAUGGCGCGAUCGUGCUGGCGCAGUUCCCCGUGUAUGCCAAGGAUUACCUG
rnacentral:ncRNA from 1 species